AGAGUUUGAUCCUGGCUCAGAACGAACGCUGGCGGCGUGCCUAACACAUGCAAGUCGAGCGCGAAUGGCCGCAAGGCCUAGUAGAGCGGCGCACGGGUGCGUAACACGUGGGUAAUCUACCUGGGAGUCCGGGACAACCUGCCGAAAGGCUGGCUAAUACCGGAUAAGCCCACGGGCUCCUCGGAGCCUGAGGGAAAAGGUGGCCUCUGUAUACAAGCUACCACUUCUAGAUGAGCCCGCGGCCCAUCAGCUAGUUGGCGGGGUAAUGGCCCACCAAGGCAACGACGGGUAGCUGGUCUGAGAGGACGAUCAGCCACACUGGAACUGAGACACGGUCCAGACUCCUACGGGAGGCAGCAGUGGGGAAUUUUGCGCAAUGGGCGAAAGCCUGACGCAGCAACGCCGCGUGUGUGAUGAAGGUCUUCGGAUUGUAAAGCACUUUCGACCGGGACGAAACCUUCAUGGCCAAUAUCCAUGAAGCUGACGGUACCGGGAGAAGAAGCACCGGCUAACUCUGUGCCAGCAGCCGCGGUAAUACAGAGGGUGCAAGCGUUGUUCGGAAUUAUUGGGCGUAAAGCGCGUGUAGGCGGCUUUGCAAGUCGGGUGUGAAAGCCCUCGGCUUAACCGAGGAAGUGCGCCCGAAACUGCAGAGCUGGAGUACCGGAGAGGGUGGCGGAAUUCCCCAAGUAGAGGUGAAAUUCGUAGAUAUGGGGAGGAACACCGGUGGCGAAGGCGGCCACCUGGACGGAUACUGACGCUGAGACGCGAAAGCGUGGGGAGCAAACAGGAUUAGAUACCCU
rnacentral:rRNA from 1 species